UUUGACUUGUAAACACCUGGGCCUUUUAAUGGGAUGAGACCAGUGUUCUUGCUUCUCAGCAAGAGGCGACCCAACCGGUGGCGGUGCAAGGACUGGGCAGAGCACAGAAUAUGGGGAAGGGUGGUCUGGAAAAGCACGCCCAGAGCCGAGGGGAGGGGCCGGAGGGGUGCCUGCUCCCUGGAAAGACAGGUUCCCGCUUCGGGAUUCUGAGUCUCCGGGUCUGCAGGCAGAGGCCCGCCCGCCUCGGGGUCUGGUGACCGUGGACCCGAGGCGCGUGCGGCAGCGCCCUCUGCCGGCCGCGCGGGACAAGCGUCCAGCCCCGCGGCUCUGCAGGUGGGACCCGGGAUCCCUCCCGCUGCCUCCGCCCCCGCCCCCGCUCCCGCUCCAUCCCUUCCGAGGACCGCGCGGCCAGGUCCCCGACCGGAUUCCAGGAGACGCGUCCUUAUCUGACGCCUGCGGGCUGAGCAGAGACGAUGCUUGGAAACAUCCGAUUCACCUGGGGAUCGGAGGCCGCGGGAACCCACCUAAACCCCGCAGGGGCUGCGCCUCUUGGGCUCCGCGGCCAAAGUCUGCCGGGCUGUCGGAGGUGGUUUGGAAGUGGCAUCGCCUAUGGCCAAGACCGCGGGUUCUGCGGACAGAGAGGAGCCCUGGGUUCGCUUUCUGCCUCAUCCAUUUUCCAGCUAGGUGAACUUGGGCAAGCAGGAUGGCCUGGACUUUCUUCCCACGUGGCAGCUGGGUCCCAGGAAGGACAUUCUGAGAGAUCAAGCCCUGAUGUGUACGCACUUCUCAAGCCUCUGCUUGAGUCGCACUUGCCGAUGACUAAGGCCCUGGGACCUCAAGUACAAUGCUGGGAAGAAGAGUUGACGCAGAUAUUUUUGUCUUGCUCCUGAUUUCAAAAGGGAUGUUUCAAACAUUUCACCUUGAAGAAUGAUAUUUGCUGUAAUUAUUUGGUAAAAACUCUUUAUCAGGUAAUGAGGCAGCUGCCGCCGUGUCCACUUCCUGUUCUGGGGCCUCAGCGUCUGAAGAGGGCAGACAGCGCGCUCAGGACCUGCCCCUGCCCCGGCCCCUUCGUAUCAGGAAUUCGCUUGUCCUGGAUGGUUCAGCACUUCACAUUUUCAAAAUUUCAGCCAUUGUGUUUAUUGAAAGUGCACCGAGCACAAAACACCGCAGUUCAUCUCUCUCUCUUUCUCGCUCUCUCUCUCGUGGAUGGGAAGAUUGUUCUGAAUCUAUGAAGGCAUUUAUUCACAGUGGCUUCCGAGUCAGGCUCUGCACUACUUCAAUUUUAGAUGUUUUUCUUAAUCUCCUGUUGUGUGUGGCAGUUCAGGAACAGACACUGUGAGACAGAGAGGGGGACUCUGGAUCCGGAUUCAGGCAGCCCGGGUUCAAAUCCUAGGCUUUCCCCUCCCCGUGCCUAGCUGAGUGACCGUGGGCACGUCAUUUCACUUCCAGAAGCCUCGCCUUCGUGGUCCAUCAAAUGAAAUACUAUCUCCCUCUCCAGAGUUGUUGUAAGGAUGAGCUGAAAUGGCGUGUCUGAGCACAGCACAGAGCCGUAUCCCGUUUGUGUACAUUUCCUUCAGUUCAUGCACGUGGCUUCUUUUCCAGGUGAAUUCCAGACUUCGGGAGUUUGUAGACUAGGAAAAUCUCAAAACACGUUUUGAUGAGCAUACUUUUGCCAAGUUUUUAUUUUGCCAACUUUUAAUGUUGCCAAGUAAGAACAGUAUUAAAAAAACCAACACAACUCACCUUCAUCUAUUUCCACUAAAUUUCAUAAAAGAAUAUUUAAAAAAAAAAUCAAGAGGACAUCGUUACGAGUCAAAAAUGGAUUAUGUUUAGCUUUACGAAAACCUCUCUGUAUUGCUCUUACUCAUCUUAUCUUAGAGAUGAGUGAACACUUGGUCUGCAGAUCAGUAUUUGGGAGCCGUCGCUCAUCCCAGACUCGCAGGGCUUUCCAGAUUAGCGGUUCCUCGCUGUAGACGCCUCACCCCGAGGUGGGGAGGCGGAGGCGGAGGAUGAGCGAGCAGCACGUCUUUCGGUGCAAAGCGUAAGGAACUGCUGGGGUGUGAUCGCCGAGCCCAGGGACCUCGGGAUGUUCAGAGACGAGAGCGGAUGUGAGAAACUGAUGUGCACGAUAUAAAGUACGUGAAGAGAACAGAGGCAGAACAUUUCCUGAGUUCCAGGUGGAAUACUGGCCGUGUUUGCAUUUUGGGUUUUUAAAAAAGGAUUGCAAGCAAGCGAUCAAAACUUGCCACAUCCGUCACUGAAGAGUGUGCGGGCUCGUGACGGUUUCACUCUGACGCAGCUCCCAAUUGCCUGCGGUUUUUCAGACACAUCCCCCUACAAUAUCCUUUGGGGUCAAAACAUUCCAUAGCUGGUCUAAGGGCAGAGGUGAAUCGUUUUUGAGAAGUUUGGGCUCUCUCUGCUCAGCUGGUUUUGCUUAGGGGAGUGUGGAAAGAUCCCUAGGGGUUCUUUUCUAGGAGAAAAAAAUUACACACGCACACCACAGACACACACAUCAUUUGGGGCCUUUUAAAGUCGGGUUAACUCCUACCUGGGGAGGGAACCUCGGCCAGAUGGGAAAUCUUAGUGGAUGACAAUUGAACUGCACUGACCCAUCUGGUGUCUGGAAGGAGGCGCAGAGCAGGCCUGUGCCAACUCUGGGUCCACGUGGGAGCACGCUGCCCUGUGCUGGGGGCCUGCUCCUGAGCCCCAGGUACUGCUGAUUUUGCAGAAUAAACGUCACAAGCACUUACUAUGUGCUGAGUCCUCUGUGAAGUACCUCGCUUCUAUUGUCUUGUCUAACCCUCACAUAGCUCUUUGAGCCAAGCCCUAAUCAGAAGGCCCAUUUCACAGAUGAGAAAACUGAGGCUUACACAGCAUUAGGCAAAGGUGUCCAAAGUCGCACUGCGGCCCAUGAGCGGUAGAGCUGGGACAUAAACACAGGUCUUUCUGAACAGUAACUACUAGGAUGUUUAGCUCCUAAAAUCUGAGGUCUGAAAUGAGUGGGAAAGGAGCUUGAACCACCCGUCUAAGGUGGCAUUUGGAAAAGGAGACCUUGCCCACCACACACACACACACACACACACACACACGCACAGGCUCUUUAAACUCUCUGAAGCCCUCCUAAAACACACAGCGUUGCCCCCCCCCCCCCCCCGUAAAAAGGCAACCUAGGAAACUUGCGGGAGAAUAAUUUAGCAGCAUCUAUCCAAAGCCUCAAAAUAUUUAUGCCCUUUGACCCAGAAAUUGCCCUGCUAGGCAUCUGCGCCGUAACCAGGAUGUUCCAGGCUUCUCCGGCCCAUGGGUACAAGGGCUGUGCUCAAGCGUCACCUCCUUAGCGGACUGUCUUGCCCCGGCUUUGCCCCCAGUGACUAAAACACCAGCUGACUCACUGAGGGCCCUCCACAAAGGUUCCCGAAGGAACAGAUGAGCUUAUGUUACAUAAAUACCUCCAAUCUCAAGACUCUGCUCAGGCAGCAGAUCGAGUCUUUUACGAAUGUCCCCCUCCCCCACGCUGCUCAGGUUCCCUUGAAGUUUCCAUAAGGUGGUCCUGCUCAUCGCGCAGCAUGGCUGCCGGCAGGUGGACGGGGACACUCAGGCAUGUCCCUUGAGGCCAGAGUCCACAAAGCCUGGCCUCCUCAGGACCCUCCAAGGAGCCGCUCCUGCGGUGUCACCGGCACCUGCCGUCCUCCCCAGCCCCCAGUGCUGCCUCCUUUUCGAGGUAUCCUCUUGCUGCUGGUUGUGCCAGGACUUGGGGCUCCCCCCUUGGCGAGGCGAUUUCAAGCCAGCAGGCCACCCCCUACCUGGCGUUUGCACAAACCUCUGCCUGUGAGCGCAGGCAGUGAGGAGGCGCCCCUAGUUUUGCCAGGUACUGUCAGCGAGGCUUCUGCAGCAAAGCUGCCUGGGUCCCUGCCUGUUCCAGACUUUUCCCUGCACCCCAACAAGCGGACAUGUCCCAAGGCAUGUCCAGCCUCCAGGCUGCGGGGGACGGCGGGUCCACCCUCAGUGUCUGCAGCCUGCAUUCUCCCUAUCGCAGGCCCUGCAGCUGGGCUGGUUCAGCACGAGGGCUGCCUUCUCUCCUCCAGCGGUGAGGUGAGGCGCGGGGAGGGGCACGUAUCAGAAUCAGAAUGAGAAUCUCCGCGCGGCAAGCGUGGGUGACAGAGGCCAACGAGGGCCUGCCUCCUUCCCUGAGGACACCUGCCAAGGGUGAGCCCAUGUCUCCCUGCCUAUUCUCUCUCCUCGGGGUGCUUUUCCUGCAAUCUGGACUCAGUUUUAAUGUUGUUUUCUUUUAAUCAACUUCAUAGAGGUAUAAUUUACAUACAACGAAAUGCACCACAUUUUAAGUGCACAAAGAGUUUUGACAACUGCAUAAACCCAUGUCACCACUACUACAUUCAAGAUACAGAACAUUUCCAUCACCCCACAAAGCCCCCUUGAGCCCUCUGCCAUCAGUCUCCUCCCCCCUCGCACCCCACCCCAGGCACUGGCUUAUUUUCUGUCCUUAUGACUUAGUUUUGCCUGUUUUGGAACUUCAUAUAGAUGGAAUCAUCCUGAAUGCACUCUUUUGUGUCUGGGCUCAGCGUGUUCUUGAGAUGUUUGUAUGUUGUUACACAUAGCAAUAGUUCCUUUCUUCUCAUUGCUGAGUAGUAUUCCAUUGUCUCGUUCUACCACAGCUUGUUUACAGGUUCACCUGUUGCAGUGUCUUGGCUUUUAUAAAUAGAGAUGCUAUGAAUAUAUUCUCAAAGAUGUUCAUUGCAGUCUUGUUUAGAAAUGGUAAAAAAAAAACAAAAAACAAAGAAACAAAAAAACCUGGAAAUAAUCCAAGUGUCAAAAAUUAGUAGACUACCGAUCCUAGGACCGGGGCAGGAAAUAUACAAGAUAAGCCUGUAGCAUCUUGUAGUGUGAGAAAGUAAGAAAGUGCUCAAAGAAACAAACAAACAAGGAUAAACUCACAACCUUACAAGUAUGUCAAAAGGAUGAGGGAGCCAGAUGAAAGAGCUCCCAACGGCGAAACGUGGAACAAUUUGAGGAGAAAAAUAAACUAGUAUUGGGUUACAACCCAAAGUAUAAAAUAAAUAUCCACAAGUCCAUAUUGAUAUUUGAUUGAAUAAAUUAGACAAAUCUCGCGUGCAGAAGAAUUUCAAAUAAUUACGUAGGUACUCUGCCCUCACGCAGCGGGGAGCAUUACUCCCCACUCCAGAAGUGUGGGCUUCACACAGUGACGUCCUUCCAGAGUACAGUACAGAAAAGGGAAAAGAAAGGGAGACACUUUACAGUGGAGAAAUGUGACAGACGCCACCAGCCAGGGAAUCAAGGUCAAAAUCAACAGUGACGGGUCAUGUUGAUAGUAUGGCCCCUUGAUAUGAUGCGAUGAAAAUGGCAGUUUACUUCUGUGGUCUUCUUCCCCAAAACGUGUAACCGCAGUCUAAUCAUGAGAAAAUCGUCAGAAAUCUCAGUUGAGAGGCAUUCUACAGAAGACCUGACAAGUACCCCUCAGAGCUGUCAAGGUCAUCAAAACCAAGGGAAGUUAAGAAACCGUCUCAGCCAUGAGCAGCCUCAGCAGACACGACAACUAAAUGUAAUGUGGAAUCUCGGAUGGAAUCCUGGAAUAGAAAAAGAGCAUUAGUUGCGUAUUUGUAGUUGUGGGUCCUCCUAGUUGUGGCAUGUGGGAUGCUGUCUCAGCAUGGCCUGAUGAGCGGUGCCAUGUCUGCGCCCAGGAUCCCAACCGGUGAAACCCUGGGCCGCCAACGUGGAGCGCGCGAUCUUAACCACUCGGCCACGGGGCCGGCCCCAAGUUUUUGUUUUAAAAAGGCAAACUGUUCCAAAGUAUAUAGAGUAAAAAAAAAUGUUACUCUUAAAAACAAAAGAAAGAAGGAGGAAAGGAAGGAAGGACAGCUGGGAUCCUGAGGAACUUACAAGAUGUGUCUUGAUUUGAUGACGUGAAAUAGAAACCUUGACAUUUAUUUAUUUUUUUGUCUUUUGUUGCGCCACAAAG
rnacentral:lncRNA from 1 species